CAGCUCUUGUUAAUGUAUUGCUUGAAGCUUGAAGAGUGAAGCAUGUGGUUCUUCAUUAUUGAAUUGACAUGAAAUUUAGGAGUGCAAGCAUUAAUUUGUGUGCAUCACAUAAGCCUUUGCAAUCAUUGAUUUAUUGACAGGAUGAGUGUUUCCAAUUAAAUUAUGAUUGACUUUGCUAAUCCCAAUUAACUCUUAGGCUUUUCCCUACGAGACAAUUAAGGUGGUAGAUAAUCAACAUUAGAUUAGAUAGUCUAGUUAUUUUUCUUUUUACUCUUGAGAAUGUAAUGAUUACUGUUCUGACGAGGAAAUGUGCAUGUGGACGAUGAUCUUUUAAUUUAUUAAUGAAGAAUGAAAUUAUUCAAAAGCUUAAUUAUUGAAUUAAAGAUGAUUACAUGUACUUGACAAUAUUUAUUUUCUGGAUAUUGAUGCUGUAAAAUUACUAAUUAUUUACUUUAUACCCCUUUAAUGGUUUGCUUUGGAAGGAAGGAUCGAUCAUGAAAAUUAAUUCCCAUUAAAAUUAUGACAAGAGUUAUAUUACAGCAAUUUGAUUAGUUUCAAAUAUUGAUAAUGGCUUUUAUAGAAAACUCAAAAUGUUGAUUUGUUAUUGAAAACUCAUUUUUUUACGUGCUCAAGCUUCGUCUAGAAAGAGAGCUAAUAAAGUGGAGGCGCUUCAUGAUGGGGCGUGCAUUUGGAUUUCUGAUAUGACAGGGUUGAGUAAUUUGAUUGCUGGGUCAAUAGGGCAGUGUUUCAAAUGCAUCCGGAUAAGUCUCCAGGACCAGAUGGUAUGAAUCCAACGUUUUUUCAAAAGUUUUGGCAUCUUAUUUGCGAUGAUGUGGCCAAUUCUAUUACUUAGUUGAAUAGAGGUGAGUUUCCUAAGUAGUUAAAUGAUACUAUUAUUGUGCUAAUUCCCAAAUGUGAGCCUCCGACCACUCUUAAGGAUUUAAGGCUCAUUUCUUUAUGUAAUAUUUUGUAUAAGAUUAUCUCUAAGUUGUUGGCCAAUAGAUUGAAAGUUCUUCUUCCUGCUAUUAUCUCUCCUACUUAGUCUGCUUUUGUGCUAGGGAGAUUAAUAACAGAUAAAGUUAUGGUUGUUUUUGAGGUUAUGCAUCAUAUGAAAAGGAAGACGAGAGGUCGAAAAGGUGAAGUGGUGCUGAAAAUUGACAUUAGUAAAGUAUAUGCCAGAGUAGAUUGGAACUACCUUGGUUAUGUGCUAUUGAAAUUGGGUUUUGAUGCUAAGUGGGUUAAGUUAGUUAUGUUGUGUGUGACUUCUGUGAAGUAUUCAGUUUUGCUGAAUGGUAAUGAAAUUGAUCUUAUCUUUCCUAAGAGGGGAUUGAGACAAGGGGAUUCUCUCUCCCAUAUCUUUUUAUUUUGUGUGCUAAAGGAUUAACGAGUUUGCUUCAAAUAGUGGAGGUUAGGGUCAAUAUUCAUGGGAGCAAGAUUUUUAGGGGCAACCCUAGUAUAACUCAUUUGUUGUUUGUAGAUGAUGGUUUCUUUUUUGUUCGAGCCAAUAGUAGGGAGUGCUCUAGUUUGAAACAAAUUUUGCUCACUUAUGAGAAUGCCUUAGGUCAGGCUAUAAAUUUUCAGAAGUCGGGUGUAUUUUUUAGUGCUAAUGUUUCUUAAGAUCAGAGAGAGGAGGUCCAUAGUAUUCUGGUGUAUCUAAUCUCUUGAUCAUGGGAUAUACUUGGGUUUAUCUUCUUUGGUUGUUAAAAGUAAGAAACAGGAUUUUGGGUUCUUGGGGGAUAGGUUAUGGAAGCGUUUACAAGGAUGGAAGGGGAAGAUCCUUUCUCGGGCAGGGAAGGAAAUUUUAUUGAAGGCAGUUGCUUAAGCAAUUCCCGCAUAUUGUAUGAAUGUGUUUCAUAUUCCUGUGUCUCUCUGCGAAGAGUUACAGAAUAUGAUAAAUUCUUUUUGGUCGGGUUCAAAGCAGAACGGGUAGCGUAAUAUCCAUUGGUUUUCUUGUGAUAGGCCAUGUGUUCAUAAGGUGGAUGGCGGAAUGGGUUUUCAAAACCUCCAUAGUUUCAAUCUAGCUAUGCUUGGUAAGCAAGGGUAGAGAAUUCUUUCAAAUCCUAACACUCUCCUUAGUAGGGUCUACAAAGCUAAAUAUUUCCCUAGAGUUGAUUUUCUAAAUGCUAAAAAGGGCUGUAAUCCCAGUUAUAUAUGGAAGAGUGUUCUGCUUGCUCAAGAGUUGCUUAGAAGGUGUAUUUAAUUGAGCGCUGGAAAUGAUAGGAGUAUAAGGGUUUGGGAUGAUCCUUGAAUUCCAAAUAAUGCUAAUUUCUUAGUAGAAUCUCUUAGGAUUUAUGGUAGGGAAGAUCUUCGUGUUCAUGAGUUAAUUGUUACUUCUAGCCAUUGUUGGGAUAUUCCUAAAUUACAUGCUUUUUUAUUACCUUCGGAUGUGAAUAAAAAUUGUUAAUAUUCCUUUGAGCAUUAGAGGUUCUAUGGACAAACGUAUGUGGCAUUUUUCUAAAGAUGGUAUUCAUUCAGUAAAGAUAGGAUAUAAUUUGUCCUACUAUACUGAUAUGAUACCUAUUUCUAAUGGUUUUGUUGGGCAUUGGAAGGUGGUGUGGAAAUUAGAUGUUCCACCAAAGAUAAAAAAUUUUCUUUAGUGGGCUAUGAGGGAAAUUCUUCUUACUAAGCAGUGUUUGUCUAGAAAGGGCAUUGAAGUGUCGGGUGGGUGUUUAAUUUGGAAGGACUUUGAGGAUCUUCUGCAUGUGUUUGUCAAUUGUUCUAAACUCAUGAUUGUUGGAACAUUUAUAUUGUUUUUGAUCAUUCUAUUUCCAACUUCACUGAAUUUUUUUCUAAUAUUCUUGAGUCUCAUGAUGAUGAUACAGUAACAUUUGUCAGUGCUGUCUUGUGGAACUUAUGGAAUAGUAGAAAUGUUUUGUUAUGGAAUGUUAAGGAUCGAUCGCCUGAGGGGAUUGUAUCUUUAGCUCAUAGUUUCCUAGUGCAAUGGCGGGCAGUGCAUGGUGCUCUAACCUUGCAGUCCUCUUGUGGCAAUGAUGAUGAAGGGGUGCUGUGUUGGGAGAAGCUGAGAAUGGGUGGAGUAAAAUGCAAUAUUGAUGCCGCUGUUUUAAGGCAAGAAGGUAAAACAUCUUAUGGGGCAAGUUUAAGGGAUGAGAAUGGAUCUUUUGUUGCAAGUUACUCUAGUUUCUUCUUGGAUUGUUGUUGGCCUAGGGAGACAGAAGUAAUCGGGCUGCGUGAAGUUCUUUCUUAGUUGAUAUCCCAUUGUUGUAAUGAAGUUAAUUUAGAGACUGAUGCAAAGGAAGUUUUUAUGCUUUAAAUUGUCAUGGGUCUAAUCUCACAGAGUUUGGUCAAAUUAUUGAGGAUGUCAGUUUAUUUUGAGACAAAUUCAGAAUAUGUCUCUUAUAGGUACUGCCAGAGACAAGAUAAUAAGGUUGCUCACUCUCUUGUUAGGGUGGCUCUAUUUCAUGCUAGUCCAAAUAUUUGGGAGAAGUAUCAGAGCUCUUUAAUUUCUGCUCUUGUAUAUGAUGUUUCUCCAGGUUGUAGUGGGGCGGCCUGAAUUUAAUUUUGGAUCUUCUAUGCUAA